UAUCAAUAAGCGGAGGAAAAGAAACUAACAAGGAUUCCCCUAGUAACUGCGAGUGAAGCGGGAAAAGCUCAAAUUUAAAAUCUGGUGGUCUCUGGCCAUCCGAGUUGUAAUCUAGAGAAGUGUUACCCGCGUCGGACCGUGUAUAAGUCUCCUGGAAUGGAGCGUCAUAGAGGGUGAGAAUCCCGUCUUUGACACGGACUACCGAGGCUUUGUGGUAUGCUCUCAAAGAGUCGAGUUGUUUGGGAAUGCAGCUCAAAAUGGGUGGUAAAUUCCAUCUAAAGCUAAAUAUUGGCGAGAGACCGAUAGCGAACAAGUACCGUGAGGGAAAGAUGAAAAGAACUUUGGAAAGAGAGUUAAACAGUACGUGAAAUUGCUGAAAGGGAAACGCUUGAAGUCAGUCGCGUUGGCCGGGAAUCAGCCUUGCUUUUUGCUUGGUGUACUUUCUGGUUGACGGGCCAGCAUCAGUUUUGACCGGUGGAAAAAGUUCAGGGGAAUGUGGCAUCUUCGGAUGUGUUAUAGCCCUUGUUCGUAUACAUCGGUUGGGACUGAGGAACUCAGCACGCCGCAAGGCCGGGUCUUUGACCACGUUCGUGCUUAGGAUGCUGGCAUAAUGGCUUUAAUCGACCCGUCUUGAAACACGGACCAAGGAGUCUAACAUGCCUGCGAGUGUUUGGGUGGAAAACCCGAGCGCGUAAUGAAAGUGAAAGUCGAGAUCCCUGUCAUGGGGAGCAUCGACGCCCGGACCUGACGUUUUCUGACGGCCCUGCGGUAGAGCAUGUAUGUUGGGACCCGAAAGAUGGUGAACUAUGCCUGAAUAGGGUGAAGCCAGAGGAAACUCUGGUGGAGGCUCGUAGCGAUUCUGACGUGCAAAUCGAUCGUCAAAUUUGGGUAUAGGGGCGAAAGACUAAUCGAACCAUCUAGUAGCUGG
rnacentral:rRNA from 1 species